rnacentral:rRNA from 1 species
GACGAACGCUGGCGGCGUGCUUAAUACAUGCAAGUCAACUUGACUUUAGAUAGCAAUAUCGAAAAGUAGGGUGGCGCACAGGUGCGUAACGCGUAGGUAAUCUGCCCUGAGGUCUGACAUAACCCGUCGAAAGGCGGGCUAACAUCAGAUGAUAUAUAGUCACGACAUCGUGGAAAUAUCAAAUCUUCGGAGCCUUGGGAUGAGCCUGCGUCUGAUUAGGUAGUUGGCGGAGUAAUAGCCCACCAAGCCUACGAUCAGUAGCUGGUCUGAGAGGAUGAUCAGCCACACUGGAACUGAGACACGGUCCAGACUCCUACGGGAGGCAGCAGUAAGGAAUAUUGCUCAAUGGGGGAAACCCUGAAGCAGCAACGCCGCGUGAAGGAUGAAAUACUUUUGUAUGUAAACUUCUGUAAGAUGGGAAAAUAUUCUCCUCGGGAGAAUUGAUUGUACCAUCAGAGUAAGCCCCGGCUAACUACGUGCCA